rnacentral:rRNA from 1 species
AUUGAACGCUGGCGGCAUGCUUUAGACAUGCAAGUCGAACGAGCGGCGGACGGGUGAGUAAUGCCUAGGAAACUUCCUGCUGGAGGGGUAUAACUACUGGAAACGGUGGCUAAUACCGCAUACGAUCAGCUGCGCCCAGUUGGUAUUAUCUAGUAGGUGGGGUAAUGGCUCACCUAGGCGACGAUCCGUAACUGGUCUGAGAGGAUGACCAGUCACACGUGAACUGAGACACGGUCCAGAUCCCUACGGGAGGCAGCAGUGGGGAAUAUUGGACAAUGGGCGAAAGCCUGAUGCAGCCAUGCCGCGUGUGUGAAGAAGGCCUUCGGGUUGUAAAGCACUUUAAGCUGGGAGGCGUUACUCACAGAAGAAGCACCGGCUAACUUCGUGCCAGCAGCCGCGGUAAUAC